UAAAAACAAAAGGUUAAAAAGGCCAAGUGCUUGGCAUUCUGCCAAGACUACACCUACUGUCUUGGAGAUAUCCUUUAAAUACCUUUGCCAUUACACUAGCCUGUUGCAUAUUCAUAGACCUUCAUGCAAAUUCAAACUUUUCCACUAACUAGUUUACAUUUUCCAGGAACUUUUUAGUAUGGCCACUCCUUGGGUCUGCCUUUUCAGAGCAUGCAUGUUUCUUGGCUUGUGGUUUUAAUCCUCUUCUUAUCACCUUUCAAUAUGAGCCUUGGCUCCUUCUUUCCACAGAGAGUAAGAAGCAGGGUCCCCAGUAUCUGUUCAUUGGGUGUUAUCUCAACCAAGCAGACAGUACAAGCAUACUAUAUAAACUAUUACUACUAUGCCUAAAUUUUUGCUAAUAGCAGAAAUAAAGACUGUAUUCAUACAGCAAAGUCAUUUUAACAUUAUAUAUAUAACAUUCAUCCUAAUACUUGUGGAAAGCCAAUAUUAUACUAUGCAUCUAUAACAACCUCACCAAAGACCAAGGAAAGAAGCAAAAGUGCAGUACCUUACUCUCCCCUGACUGCUCCGAGGUUAUGAAGAGAGCCUGUUUAAGGAGGGAACAGUCAAGCUGCUCCUAUCGCUUCCACUAUGGUGUCCAGCCCAUUACUCUUUUCACCUACCACAAGUGAGACUUUUGCUGAUACAAGCAGCCACUGAACUGGGACCAUAUGAAGACCCUACUUCACUAGAAAGAGCCCUCACCAUCUACUCGGCUGCCUCAGGGGAAAUCCCGGGAUCCCCAAGACCCCUCUGCCUCCUGCUGGCUGUGAGCGGAACUGCACCAACAGGGAAAGUGGCCGCGAGAAGGCCGGGACCGGGUCUGUGGUUCUGGCUGGGACCGGGUCUGAGGUUCUGGCUGGGACCGGGUCUGAGGUUCUGGCCGGGACCGGGUCUGAGGUUCUGGCUGGGACCGGGGCUGUGAUUCUGGCCGGGACCGGGUCUGAGGUUCUGGCUGGGACCGGGUCUGUGGUUCUGGCUGGGACCGGGGCUGAGGUUCUGGCCGGGACCGGGUCUGAGGUUUUGGCUGUCACGGGGUCUGUGGUUCUGGCUGGUACCGGGUCUGUGGUUCUGUUUGUUGUUGCUGCCAUUGUUGUUUGUUUGCCUUGUUAUAGACAUAUACAUAUUGUUAAAGAACUGUUAUUCCUUUUCCCAUAUUUUUGCCCAAAAGCCCCGUAAUUUCAAAGUUAUAAUUUGAAGGGAAGGGGGUCAUAUACUCUAUCCCAAAGACAUUCCUGCCUUCCUUGGCAGACACCUGUCUUUCAAACCAAGACAUAGCACAUGCUAAAAAGAGCCCUGUCUGUAACACAGGAGCCACAGAGAAGCUUCCUGCAGUACAGCUCAUUCACAGUGUUCCCCAGGUGCAGGAGGAGGUGUAUGGUAGCAUACACCAGGCUUCAGGGUAUCAUUACCUAUGUGUCUCACCCUCACUGGCUCCCCAGGAUUCAAGAAUUCUUCCAAACUAUUAGGAAAAUAAAUUUAUUGGCAGUUGAAUACCG